GGAAGCGGCGGGAAAGCGCUAUGUUGCGCGAAACAAAGGGAUCCUUCGCGAGCAGCUGCGCGGUGUGUCGACCCUCGGAGAGUGACGGAACAGGACCUUUUUCCGGAUGUUUUGGUCAGAAAAAUAAAAGGUCCUUCUCUCUUUCGGCGAAAUUAAAAAAAACUAACGUUGAAUGAAAGUCUUCAAAAAGAUACGGGAGAAGGAGAAACACGGACGAUCGGCGAUUUUCCCUUACAUUCGCAGCCGUUUCCAUUAACGAGCCGACGGAACCGUUGCAAGUUUUUGCAUUCAGCUCCCACAUAAGAAGAGACAUAUCAGACAUGUUGGAGGACAUUGGUGAGAUUUCUCGGUAUAGACGGUGACCGCCCCUUUCUUCGGUCGCCGUCGAAAAUAUUUCCGGCCAUUUUUCGCCCCACCAACGCAAGUCCACCCUCCGAAAGAAAAGCAGCGAAGGUGGGGUAGCCGUAGGGGAUAGAACAAUGGAAAAAGUAUCGCCAUCUUUAAUUCUGUCCCUAUUCGUCUCAACGAGGAACGAAGAGCGGUUCGUCCCGAUGAGAAGAAAAGAAUGAACAGGAUAUCUGACUAGCCAAUGUAUCCUGGGACACCAUAGAAAUCAACAGGUUCGGGUCGUAGAUGCUAGAUGGAGAUGCAUUAUCGCAAGCAACUAAGUUCUGUGUCUCAAUUUAAUUAUUGAAUUAUUGUAUACAAUUUUUUGUCGUUGUUUAUUAAAUAAAUUGACAUAAUUUGGAUAUAAUAGUGAAUAAUUAUCAUUAACACGAUAAAAAUAUUGAUGAAGCGACUUUAGUGUUAAACGACGUUAUCAUUUUUAUCAUUAAUUGCAUGGAUACUCG